rnacentral:rRNA from 1 species
CCUACGGGAGGCAGCAGUGAGGAAUAUUGGUCAAUGGACGAGAGUCUGAACCAGCCAAGUAGCGUGAAGGAUGACUGCCCUAUGGGUUGUAAACUUCUUUUAUAUGGGAAUAAAACGUUCCACGUGUGGGAUUUUGUAUGUACCAUAUGAAUAAGGAUCGGCUAACUCCGUGCCAGCAGCCGCGGUAAUACGGAGGAUCCGAGCGUUAGCCGGAUUUAUUGGGUUUAAAGGGAGCGUAGGUGGAUUGUUAAGUCAGUUGUGAAAGUUUGCGGCUCAACCGUAAAAUUGCAGUUGAAACUGGCAGUCUUGAGUACAGUAGAGGUGGGCGGAAUUCGUGGUGUAGCGGUGAAAUGCUUAGAUAUCACGAAGAACUCCGAUUGCGAAGGCAGUUCACUGGACUGCAACUGACACUGAGGCUCGAAAGUGUGGGUAUCAAACAGGAGUAGAUACCCUUGUAGUC